AACGGCUCCUAUCGAAGCCGUUUAUGCUCUCCUGUAGCAAUAGACGGUCAACAGGUAGCCAAAAUGAAGACUUUCACCGACGGUCGCUGUUCAGUUUCAAAAUAACUGCUCCAGCAACAUUAAGGGAAAGGACAUUU